AACGAACGCUGGCGGCAUGCCUAACACAUGCAAGUCGAACGAAGCCUUCGGGCUUAGUGGCGCACGGGUGCGUAACGCGUGGGAAUCUGCCCCUUGCUUCGGAAUAACAGUUAGAAAUGACUGCUAAUACCGGAUGAAGUCUUCGGACCAAAGAUUUAUCGGCAAGGGAUGAGCCCGCGUAGGAUUAGGUAGUUGGUGGGGUAAAGGCCUACCAAGCCGACGAUCCUUAGCUGGUCUGAGAGGAUGAUCAGCCACACUGGGACUGAGACACGGCCCAGACUCCUACGGGAGGCAGCAGUGGGGAAUAUUGGACAAUGGACGCAAGUCUGAUGCAGCAAUGCCGCGUGAGUGAUGAAGGCCUUAGGGUUGUAAAGCUCUUUUACCAGGGAUGAUAAUGACAGUACCUGGAGAAUAAGCUCCGGCUAACUCCGUG
rnacentral:rRNA from 1 species